rnacentral:tRNA from 1 species
GGUUUGCUCAGUGGUUAGAGCGUUGGCCUGUGGGCCAAAGGGUCUUGGGUUUGAUUCCCAGUCCA